UAGCUAUCUAUGCCACGUAUAAGCUAAAGCUGAUAAUUCUUCUCAGCUUUGUCAAUCAGUCUGAAUGGAGGGCAGAGUAAUCAGAUGAGGGUUUCGAAGGAGUUAUUUUUCCUAUCCAGAUCUUCAGUUUCUUCAGGGUUUCGAUCAAGAGAUGUGGAUUUUGAGCUCCAAAGCCUCAAAUAAUCACUUGCAUGAAGCCAUGAACGAGUAGAGGAUGCAAAGAGGAUCACAAAGAGAGUUAGAGAAGAAGGAAGAACACACAGAAUUUAAGUAGUUCGGCCAGAAGCCUACAUCCACUGUCAAAGGGAGGGUGUCACUUUCUUAUUGUUUUCUUUGAAGUUUUACAGAUUAUGAACUCUCUCACCCUUGCACUGAUUUUUUCUUCUCUUUUAUAUGCAGAGAUUUUUUUACAAUGAGAUAAGCCCAAGGUGAGCUGGUCGUUACAACAUUAAACUAGAAAAAUAACAGAUAAGUACUAAGGGUUACUUGUAAUUUCUUAUUUUUCUGUUACAUUUUAUUAUUGCAAUUUGUGGACUUAUCAAAUUUGUAGUUUGAGCUAAUUCAAAAGUUGAAAACUCUUACUCAAAAUUUUCCUACGUAUUUUCAUUAGUACUAACAUACAAAAAUCAAUCUAAAGAUUGUAUUGUAUUAUGUUGUAUUAUUCAGAGUGAAAAAUAUUACAUUGCAUCAGUAUCCAUUACAUCUUUUUCCCUGUUAUAUUAUUGUUCUUUUUUGCUUAAGAAAAAUUUCACUUGUAGCUUUUGCAUUCUUUAUUAACUAACUAUGGUCUUCUCUUUUUCUUAUUUUCUUAAUUUUGCAUCCUAAGCUGGUCGAAUGCAAAAUUAUAUUAUAGAGGUUUAUUUUCUUAAUUUCUCUUUAGUUUUUUUUUUCUUUUUUCUUUUCUUUUUUCUUUUUUUUUUUUUUUUUUUUUUUUUUUAUGUUCAUAAUAGAAUGUGUAAACAAGUAAAUGAAUUAAAACUUACCAUUUUACCUUGGUAAGGAAAAUCUUCUACAAAUCAUAGAGAGGGAGCUUCUUCUUGGCUGUCUAUCACAAUCAAAGCCCAAUAGAAUUUAGUUAGAAUAAAAUCAAAUUUUCCUUUACUUUUUUCAUUGUAGAACAAAAAUUUAAAAAUUUUAUUCUCCCUCGAUUAUGCUUUUUCUUUAAAACAAAGAGAAGAGUAGUGAAGGGAGGUGUGAGAUUGUACUAGAAGAGUUCUCUGUACUUAUCUAGUGGAGAUUGGCUCUCGAAAGCUUGAAUAAGAUCUUCCAUGGCUGCUUCGAACAGUGGAUGUAGGCUAUAAUGCUGAACCACUAUACAUCCUGGUAUUAAUCUUCUUCUCUGAACCUUUUCUUUCUUCUUUUACUUUAAUUUCUGGCUGCAUUUGAGUUAAGAUCUUCCUCUAUAUUCUUCAACUUCCUUUUCUCUCUUCGUCUAAUUUUUUGAUCUGCAUGUUGAAGGGAGUAAGAGAAGAAAAAGUGAUAAGAUCGUUUACUAAGUCUGAGAAAGUAAAGUAAACUGACCAAAUUUUCUUUUGUAUGUUGUGUUAAGAGCUGAAGUUUACAUGUGGUAGUCUAUUUUGAUUCUUUAUUUUAUUAUUUUUACUUUUACAGAAUGUAUUCUUCUGAUAUUGUCCAAUUUAUCUAUCAUGAGAAUAAAAGGGAUAAGGCUUUUGGUUUUAGCUCUGUUGUACAGAGAAAGACUUAUUGUAAAAUCCAAAUAUCUUUAUCCCAUCUUGUAUAAUUAUAUGAGGAGAUUGUGCCAUUCAUGUUUAACAAGUGCUCUAAAUUUUAACAAAAUGAGUAAAUGGUAGGCAUUGAAAAUAUGAAACUACAGAUAAGCAUAUUAAGAAAAAAGGGUCAUUGCUUUAAAAUUGGCAUGAUGUUUAGCCAUGUACAUAUUAUAUGCUAAAUAUGUGUAGUAUGCUUAAGUUUAUUCUAGUUCAACCAUUCAAAUAAAAGAGGAUAUACCAGGACCUAUUAACUAAUGUUAGUUAAAUAUGACAUUACAGGCCCUUGGGGUUGACUUGUCAAUUGUUCUCAAACUGAUAUAAAUAAGAAUAUUGACAUGAUUACUGCUAGGUCGAGGAAGCCCAAAUUCUUCCCUGUUGGUGUUGACUACAGGCACUUGGCUAGCACAAUGGGGUUAGAGUAUCUAGAAAAUUGACAUGGUUUCAACACCUAGGAGUCUAAUAAGAACAUGUAUGUCAGACAUUGCAUCCUGAAUUAACAAAAGCAAUUGAUGAAAUUGAAGUGGAGUUUCAUAAGCUUGGAAGACCUGUUGCAACUGAUCCUAGAGUAACUUUUUUUUUUUUCUUGUACAAUAACUCUAUCAAAUAUACUUCACUACUAACUAAAUUUGUCUACCUAACACAUAACAUGCUCAGUUAUAUAUUGUCCUACAGCUUUGUCAUGCAUUGGACUUGAUGUCCAGUUCUAUAAUUUCCUCUUGAAUGUUUUUUUUUUUUCUUGAUUUUGACUUCUUGGAAAUACUAGAUAGGUUUGUGUUGAUGAUUGUAAACUUUCCUUUGUUGGUUUGUUCUUAGUUCAAAAUGAGUCUUUUGAGCCAAGUAACAAAUUGUGUAUAAUGCUCUUUCUUCCAUUAGAAUUUUUUUUUGUGAAAAUUACCUUUCUUUUAUCGUUGUUGGGCUUGGAAGCUUUAGGUGUUACUUUGAAGUGUAUCUACUCCGUCUUAUGGACACUUAAGCUUAGUUAGUAAUAUGUGGAAGUUUGAUUUAUGGAAGAUUGUGAGUGUAUUAAGGUUGUUUGGGGGCAGUUAUAUCAAUGGAAGCUACUUGUUUCCUUGUGGUUAUAGUUAUUAUUAGAUUUUGCUUGUUUCUUUUCCACUCGUAAAUGUAUCUUUGAAUGUCUAUCAUGUGAAAGUUUAAUUUAUGGAAGGUUGUGAUUAUAUUAAGGUUGAUUGAUUACAGUUAUUGUUAAAUUUUUGAACACUUGUGAAAGUUUACUUUCUUGUUUUUAGUUGUUGCUCCUUCUCUCUUGACCACUUUUGUUUUGUUAAUUGAUGCAAUAAGCAAAGUUAUUGGUCCUAAUUGUGGUCAUAUUAGAGGACUGGGACUUGGGGUGACCAUGUCAAUAUUAUCUGCAUUCUCUCAAAGAGAGAGUUAUAUCCAACUUGAAGAAAAGUGUAAGAAGGAGGGAGACAUGACUAGAACGAGAUCUUUGAUAUCUCACAUACUCAAAGUUCAAUGCAAGUUGCCAGAUUGGUGUGGCACAGGAGACGUAGUUGUUGAAGGUUAAUGGUCUUCAAAUGAACCAGAAAUUAUUGUUCAUCAUGUUCUCCUUGGUCCACAAGCAGUGAGAGUUUGGGUAGACUUGCUAGUAAAACAUGAUGCAUUUUUAUGGAGGCCAAACUCAGAAAUGACAUAUAUUGAAAAUGCAAUCAAAAGUACAAUAGCAUUACCAUAUAACAAAGUUUUAAUUAGUUGAUGAAGGACUAUCAGUGCAUGCAUCUUCAAAUAUUUUGGUGGUCAACCACAAACACGACGAAGUUGGAGUUAUUUUGGAAAUUGAUAUUAACAAAGUUUGUAAUUUACGAAUUUAUAUUUUUUUUAUAUCCAAAUUUUUAGUACUCAUUACUAUAUCUCUUUUUUGUUGGGAUAUAUGAAUCUUGCAUUGAAUGCUUAUUUUGAAAA